rnacentral:lncRNA from 1 species
AACAAGGCGAGCGACGGACAAUUUCGUCGCUAUGAGAACAAGUGACGAAUUUUAUUAUGUAUUAUAGUGACGAAAGGCAUCAAAAUAGCGACAGAAACAUAUCAAUAUAGCGACGGAUAUUUCCGUCGCUAAAUAUUGCUACAAAAUAUGUCGCCGCUAUUCCGUCACUAACUUUGCGACGGAUUGUAUUUUUCGUCGUUGUAAGCCUAGCAACGAGGAUUUUAGGGACGAAUAAGAAUCCAUCGCUAUUCCGUCGCUAAACACGUUUAGCGGCGGAAUACAUUGAUUUAGUGACGGAAUAACGCCAUCGCUAAACGCUGUUUUUUUUUGUAGUGGCCAUAAAUCACGCUAAAGAAUACCCAAACUAUGAAUCGACACUCAAAAGCCUUCUUUGAACUUUAAAACUUCCAAACUUCAAUGAACACAUCUGAAUCAUAUCAAAACACUCUAGAAUGACGCCAAACAUUACGCAAUAAUCACAAAACAUGAUACCAAGGCUCAAAACUCCAAAUGGACAUCGAUAACACCAAAGUCCAUCUCAAACCAAACUUAUGAAAUUCUAAAACCAUCAAAAUACCAACUUUCCACAAUAAGUGUCGAAAUGCUCCCGGAUGACCCGAUACUCAAUCCGAGUAUACGCCCAAGUCCGAAACUAUUAUACAAACCUAUUGGAAUCUUCAAAUCCCGGUUCUGAGAUCGUUUACUUAAAAGUCAAUCUUUAGUAAAUUCUUCCAACUUAAAGCUUCCUAGAAUUUUCCAUCCAAAUCAACUCUGAAUUUUCCGAAAUUUGAUUCCGAUCAUACGUACAAGUCAUAAAAUAUGAAAUGAAGCUAUCCGAUGCCUCAAACCAUGAAACGGCUUUAGAGCUCAAAAUAACUGGUUGGGUUGUCACAGAACUACUCUCUAUUGUUUAUGUGAGGGUACAUGACUUGUGAAGGAAAGAAAAUGUGUUUGGCUUCUAUGUUAUAGUAAGCGUGCAAGUUUGAAAAGGUUAGUCUUUCGAGUCGGAUCUUGAGGCUGGAGUGUUAUGGCAUGAUGCUUAGUCUACUUUAAACAUUCUUGUCUUGAUGAGUUAGGAUAGUUGCUUGAAAAACUCUAUUUGAAGUGUAGUUUGAUUACUCGAGUAUGAGCAAUGGUAUAAGUGUGGGGUGUUGAUGGUAGGCUAGAAAUACGAAUUUUUGGCUACUUUGCACCUAUUAUUUGCUACACUUUGAGCUUGUAUAGGUUGAGAAUCCGGGCUGAGACAAGUUUCUGAAGCUAAAAAGGAAUAAAAGAGAACUUUGAA